rnacentral:rRNA from 1 species
UGGGGAAUUUUGGACAAUGGGGGGAAACCCUGAUCCAGCCAUCCCGCGUGUGCGAUGAAGGCCUUCGGGUUGUAAAGCACUUUUGCAGGAAAGAAACGCCGCGGGUUAAUACCCCGCGAAACUGACGGUACCUGCAGAAUAAGCACCGGCUAACUACGUGCCAGCAGCCGCGGUAAUACGUAGGGUGCAAGCGUUAAUCGGAAUUACUGGGCGUAAAGCGUGCGCAGGCGGUUCGGAAAGAAAGAUGUGAAAUCCCAGAGCUUAACUUUGGAACUGCAUUUUUAACUACCGGGCUAGAGUGUGUCAGAGGGAGGUGGAAUUCCGCGUGUAGCAGUGAAAUGCGUAGAUAUGCGGAGGAACACCGAUGGCGAAGGCAGCCUCCUGGGAUAACACUGACGCUCAUGCACGAAAGCGUGGGGAG